GUCGAGCGAUGAAACCCUUCGGGUGUGAAUUAGCGGCGAACGGGUGAGGAACACGUGAAGAAUCUGCCUUCAACUCUGGGAUAACUCCGGGAAACCGGGGCUAAUACCGGAUAUGAGCCUCGAUCGCAUGAUUGGGGCUGGAAAGUUUUUCGGUUGAAGAUGACUUCGCGGCCUAUCAGCUUGUUGGUGAGGUAAUGGCUCACCAAGGCGACGACGGGUAGCCGGCCUGAGAGGGCGACCGGCCACACUGGGACUGAGACACGGCCCAGACUCCUACGGGAGGCAGCAGUGGGGAAUAUUGGGCAAUGGAGGAAACUCUGACCCAGCGACGCCGCGUGAGGGAUGAAGGCCUUCGGGUUGUAAACCUCUUUCAGUAGGGAAGAAGCGAAAGUGACGGUACCUACAGAAGAAGCACCGGCUAACUAUGUGCCAGCAGCCGCGGUAAUACAUAGGGUGCAAGCGUUGUCCGGAAUUAUUGGGCGUAAAGAGCUCGUAGGUGGUUCGAUACGUCGGAUGUGAAAAUCAGGGGCUCAACCCCUGACCUGCAUCCGAUACGGUCGAGCUAGAGUUUGGUAGGGGAGACUGGAAUUCCUGGUGUAGCGGUGGAAUGCGCAGAUAUCAGGAGGAACACCGAUGGCGAAGGCAGGUCUCUGGGCCAAUACUGACACUGAGGAGCGAAAGCGUGGGGAGCGAACAGGAUUAGAUACCCUGGUAGUCCACGCCGUAAACGGUGGGCGCUAGUUGUGCGAACCUUCCACGGUUUGUGCGACGCAGCUAACGCAUUAAGCGCCCCGCCUGGGGAGUACGAUCGC
rnacentral:rRNA from 1 species